AGCAAGUCRGAGCGGUAAGGCCCUUCGGGGUACACGAGCGGCGGACGGCUGAGUAACACGUAGGAACGUACCCCAAACUGAGGGAUAAGCACCAGAAAUGGUGUCUAAUACCGCAUGUGAUCUUCGGAUUAAAGCUUCGGCGGUUUGGGAACGGCCUGCGCAUGAUUAGCUUGUUGGUGAGGUAAUUGCUCACCAAGGCGACGAUCAUUAGCUGGUCUGAGAGGAUGACCAGCCAGACUGGAACUGAGAACGGUCCAGACUCCUACGGGAGGCAGCAGUAGGGAAUUUUCCACAAUGGGCGAAAGCCUGAUGGAGCAACGCCGCGUGCAGGAUGAAUGUCUUCGGAUUGUAAACUGCUUUUAUAUGUGACGAUAAUGACGGUAGCAUAUGAAUAAGGAUCGGCUAACUCCGUGCCAGCAGCCGCGGUCAUACGGAGGAUCCAAGCGUUAUCCGGAAUUACUGGGCGUAAAGAGUUGCGUAGGUGGCAUAGUAAGCGAGUAGUGAAAGCGUUCGGCUCAACCGGAUAAACAUUACUUGAACUGCUAAGCUCGAGGAUGAGAGAGGUUAUUGGAAUUCCCAGUGUASGAGUGAAAUCCGUAGAUAUUGGGAGGAACACCCGAUGGCGUAGGCAGAUAACUGGCUCAUUCCUGACACUAAGGCACGAAARGCGUGGGUAGCAAACGGGAUUAGAUACCCCCGGGUAGUCCACGCCCGUAGCCUAUGGAUGCUAGCUGUUAUCGGUAUCGACCCCGGUAGUAGCGAAGCCUAAMGGCGUUAAGGCAUCCCGCCCUGUGGAGUACCGGUCGCAAGACCUAAAAACAUAAAGGAAUUUGACCGGGGACCCCGYMMMAGCCGGU
rnacentral:rRNA from 1 species